rnacentral:rRNA from 1 species
UACGGAGGAUGCGAGCGUUAUCCGGAUUUAUUGGGUUUAAAGGGUGCGCAGGCGGAUUUUUAAGUCAGCGGUCAAAUCGUGGGGCUCAACCCCAUCCAGCCGUUGAAACUGAUGAUCUUGAGUGGGCGAGAAGUAUGCGGAAUGCGUGGUGUAGCGGUGAAAUGCAUAGAUAUCAAGAGGAAUACUCAUUGCGAAGGCGACCUACUGGAACAUUACUGACGCUCAUGCACGAAAGCGUGGGGAGCAAACAGG